UACGGGGGGGGCAAGCGUUGUUCGGAAUUAUUGGGCGUAAAGCGCGUGUAGGCGGCCCGAUAAGUCCGCUGUGAAAGUCCAGGGCUCAACCCUGGAAUGCCGGUGGAUACUGUCGGGCUCGAGUCCGGAAGAGGCGAGUGGAAUUCCUGGUGGUAGCGGUGAAAUGCGCAGAUAUCAGGAGGAACACCGAUGGCGAAGGCAGCUCGCUGGGACGUUACUGACGCUGAGACGCGAAAGCGUGGGAGCAAACAGG
rnacentral:rRNA from 1 species